AGCUUGUGCCAAUGCAAAGCAGCCCUCAGGCUCACUAUAAAAGCCCAGGACGAGCUGAGAGGCUUCAUCCCCUUCUCACUAGAGCUUCCAGCAAAGCAUGGCUGUUCUGGUGCUGCUCCUCUGCCUGGUGGCAUUUCCAAGUUGUGUCUUUUCCCAGGUACAGCUGAAGGAGACAGGACCUGGCCUGGUGCAGCCUUCACAGACCCUGUCACUCACCUGCACUGUCUCUGGGUUCUCAUUAGCUGACUAUGACAUGUCCUGGGUUCGCCAGCCUCUUGGAAAAGGGCUGGAGUGGAUGGGAGCAAUAUGGAGGGGUGGAAGCCCAAAGUACAGUUCAACUCUCCAAUCUCGAAUCACCAUCAGCAAGGAUACCUCCAAGAAUGAAGUCUUCUUAAAAUUGAACAGUCUGCACACUGAAGACACAGCCAUAUAUUACUGCACUAGAGACACAGUGAGGAAACUCCAAUUUGAGCCUACACAAAAAAAAUCUCCUUAUAGAGACAUCUGGGACCAGCAGAGGGCACUAAGGACCAACAGGGACUACUGAAAACCAAAAUAAGGU